UGGCACUGGAGAGGAAUACAGAAGUGAAAACUGAGUGAACUGCUACUAAGAAAAAAGAGGAUGAAAUUGUCACUGCUGACAAGGGGCCUGGAUUGGAUCCCAAGUCAAGGAAUUAGAUCCACACGCCACAACUUAAGAGCUCCCAUGCUACAACUAAUGAUCUCACAUACUGCAACUAAGACCUGGCACAGCCAAAUAAAUAAAUGAAUGAAUAUUAAAGCAGAUGUUUGCCUUCUAACAGCCAAAGACAUACCAGCUCCAGCAUCUUUCUGAAUGACCAGCAAGAGCCCAACCACUGCCUGCUGAAGGUUUAAGCACCUGCAGUAUCAACAUCAGUCACAUGGCCUCUCUGAAAGGUCUGAACACCAAGGUGUGCAAUUGCUCUUCUUCUGCACACCUGGAUUAUGACCACUAUCCCUUCCCUUUGGUCAUGGGUUCCUGGGUUGUUGAGGGAAGCCUGCCUUCAGAUCCCUUACCAUGGGAGCUUCUCCACAGGGAAACUCACAACAUGGCGUCUGGCUUCGUUAGAGUAACACAGGGAGAGUGGGAGUGCCAG
ensembl:lncRNA